rnacentral:rRNA from 1 species
UACGUAGGGUGCAAGCGUUGUUCGGAAUUACUGGGCGUAAAGGGCUCGUAGGCGGCCAACUAAGUCAUACGUGAAAUCCCUCGGCUUAACCGGGGAACUGCAUCUGAUACUGGAUGGCUUGAGAUUGGGAGAGGGAUGCGGAAUUCCAGGUGUAGCGGUGAAAUGCGUAGAUAUCUGGAGGAACACCGGUGGCGAAGGCGGCAUCCUGGACCAACACUGACGCUGAGGAGCGAAAGCCAGGGGAGCAAACGGG